AGGUUCCUGUGGUAUUAGGUGGACUGGAGAAAGAGGCCCGCGUGAAUUAAGUGUAGUUCUCUUAUGCACUGGCGGACUCUGGUCGCCCUUCCUUGUGAAGGCUGCCUGGGUAGCCGUAGAGGACGAGGCCACUCUAAAGCCUCGUUUUCCCAGCGGAAUUUUAACUAUUCUAAGGAUGUCCUUACAGCCAGUUCCCCACUCCGCUACUCAGAGUGUGUCAGACUUUACCCUGUCCAUUCAACUCCAGAAAAACCGGGAGGUCUAGAUUCGGAAGAUUAAAUUUACCUUUGAAUUAGGACAUGUAAAAUAGGAAGUUAAUACUAGCAUCCUAAUGACAAAAGUUUUCUCGUUAUCAUACUUGACUCAAAUGGGAAUCUUACGGAUAUUAAUGUUUUUUCUAGAAACAGGUUUGAAAGGUAUUUCAAGGAUAAAUCUGGGGAAAGGGAUGGAAGCAACUGAUUUUUAAUUUUUAGAUAGUACUCUCAGAGCAUUUAUUUAGUCCAAAACUGUUAAUUUAAUGAAUUAGGCUAAACUAGACGCUGGGUUAACAAAGCUGAGUUAGAUACCCUCUCCUCUGAGGCAGCUAAAGAGAAGGAAAGUCUGGUGGCUGACAAGUAAACCAACAGUUAUGUUCUUCAGAGAGGAGAUCUCAGAUUCUCUAAGCAAAAGAAACUAAUAGCUGUAUGACAACAGCCAAAGAGUAAAUAUCCUUUCAAGUCCAAUCCUGCCUAAGAUGUCAAAAUCAAGAAUGAAGAGGUUAUGUGCUGAAACAGAAUGACCUUCACGAGAUGCAGCCUCUGGAUCUUGGACUUCCCCAGCCUCCAGAACUCUGAGCAGAGCCCCAUAAAUGAGAAGCCACGAAGACUGAGGUUACACAGUGAUCCACAGUUGCCACAAAACUGAGCAGGCAUCAAGGUACAUCUUGGUGUUGAAUGAAGUUGUUCCAUAUGGGCUCAUUUCUCAGGUUGUUUGCAAAAAAGAAAUAAUGUAAUACAGUGCACCAACUGUAUUUCAAAGAUGCAGGCCAACUCGACAUUUCAUGUGCUGAAAACAGGUAUUAAAUAUACUUUAUAAUCUGAUAUCUGAUAUGUUAUUGCAUUUGGGUACCACUCUCUAAGUAUAUUUAAUGUUGGAAUAAAAACUGAAUUGAAAAGUUUUUUCAUUAUGGAUAUUUUAAGAUUCCUUUUGGUUGUCAUUAACAAGACAUGAUAAAUAUAUUCUGUAUAAUAUAAAGCAAUAUGACUAUUUGAACUCUUCACACAACAUAGUAUAAUGGUCACAGAUAUUUCAAUUUGAUUUGGUAAUCUUAUGCUAUUAAAAUCAUUAAAAUGUAAAUGAAUUACUGAAUUAAACACACUUUCACUACACUCUUAGCACAAUUAAUAUUGUAUAAAAUUAUCUGCAUAAUUAUACACAGUAUGUUUACAUAAAACAGCCAGGAAAGAGCUACAAAUCAGAGGCUGAGUGUAAAAUAUUUUAAGCUGUGUGCUGAAGUCUUCUAAAUAUGGAAAUCUAAGUGGUUGUUUUAGUAUUGGUGCUUUAUGUAACUGCAGACUGUUCUAAAUUUCAUGCUUUACUUAUUUAAAUGCUAAAUAACUCUAUACCUAUUUUUAAAAUUCUCAUAAAUAUAUAUACAUGUACAUAUGUGUGUGUGUGUGUGUGUGUGUGUAUAUAUAUAUAUAUAGAGAGAGAGAGUGUAUUUUAAACCUGUGUGCAUUGUUCACAAAAUUAAAAGGAAAUUAUUUUCUUCAGUUAAUUUACAUUAUGAGUUAACUAUUUGAAAUUUAGCAUUAGUUCAUCAACAAAAGCCACAAUGAGCAUUUUAAUGCAGCAUAGGAUAUACAGAUAGGCCUAGGACAAAAGACUCAACAUCUCCAGAAAAUAGGAACCAUUUACAGGGAACCUCAUUUUAUGAAUAGAAUUGUGACUAAUAAAAUAAUGUUACAAAAUUACCUGCAACUAUUCUAAGGAAAGAAAUACUCUUGAAUGCUCACAUACCUAGCAACUGUGGAUAUUAUUGUAAUUAUUGCCAUCCUUCACAAGCAUCACUCAUAUUACUAUAGUGAUGAACAGACUGAUUCACCUGAAUAAUUAACCUUUACUACAGCAUAACUACCUUCGGUACAGAUUAAUGUUUUCUAUUCAGCUUAAGACAUAAACCUACAUGGGAAAUCACACUUAUUAAAAAUGCUGUAAAAAUCAAUUGUUUCCUACCACUCUGAGGAAUUAGUAUCAACAAUUAAUUUGUGCAGUAUUUUUAAAAGCUUGUAUUCAUCUGUCUGUGCCCAUUAAACAAGAACAGAAUACAGC